AGUCGACGCGUUGGCCCAAUUGAUUGACGGUGCUUGCACCUGAUUGAUUUUCGUCGCCAACGAGUGGCGGACGGGUGAGUAACACGUAGGUAACCUGCCCAGAAGCGGGGGACAACAUUUGGAAACAGAUGCUAAUACCGCAUAACAACGUUGUUCGCAUGAACAACGCUUAAAAGAUGGCUUCUCGCUAUCACUUCUGGAUGGACCUGCGGUGCAUUAGCUUGUUGGUGGGGUAACGGCCUACCAAGGCGAUGAUGCAUAGCCGAGUUGAGAGACUGAUCGGCCACAAUGGGACUGAGACACGGCCCAUACUCCUACGGGAGGCAGCAGUAGGGAAUCUUCCACAAUGGGCGCAAGCCUGAUGGAGCAACACCGCGUGAGUGAAGAAGGGUUUCGGCUCGUAAAGCUCUGUUGUUAAAGAAGAACACGUAUGAGAGUAACUGUUCAUACGUUGACGGUAUUUAACCAGAAAGUCACGGCUAACUACGUGCCAGCAGCCGCGGUAAUACGUAGGUGGCAAGCGUUAUCCGGAUUUAUUGGGCGUAAAGAGAGUGCAGGCGGUUUUCUAAGUCUGAUGUGAAAGCCUUCGGCUUAACCGGAGAAGUGCAUCGGAAACUGGAUAACUUGAGUGCAGAAGAGGGUGGUGGAACUCCAUGUGUAGCGGUGGAAUGCGUAGAUAUAUGGAAGAACACCAGUGGCGAAGGCGGCUACCUGGUCUGCAACUGACGCUGAGACCCGAAAGCAUGGGUAGCGAACAGGAUUAGAUACCCUGGUAGUCCAUGCCGUAAACGAUGAGUGC
rnacentral:rRNA from 1 species